rnacentral:rRNA from 1 species
GUAACGAGUUUACACUCAUCACCCUGUGACAUACCUAAAACGUUGCCUCGGCGGGAACAGACGGCCCCGUAACACGGGCCGCCCCCGCCAGAGGACCCCCUAACUCUGUUUCUAUAAUGUUUCUUCUGAGUAAACAAGCAAAUAAAUUAAAACUUUCAACAACGGAUCUCUUGGCUCUGGCAUCGAUGAAGAACGCAGCGAAAUGCGAUAAGUAAUGUGAAUUGCAGAAUUCAGUGAAUCAUCGAAUCUUUGAACGCACAUUGCGCCCGCCAGUAUUCUGGCGGGCAUGCCUGUUCGAGCGUCAUUACAACCCUCAGGCCCCCGGGCCUGGCGUUGGGGAUCGGCGGAAGCCCCCUGCGGGCACAACGCCGUCCCCCAAAUACAGUGGCGGUCCCGCCGCAGCUUCCAUUGCGUAGUAGCUAACACCUCGCAACUGGAGAGCGGCGCGGCCACGCCGUAAAACACCCAACUUCUGAAUGUUGACCUCGAAUCAGGUAGGAAUACCCGCUGAACUUAAGCAUAUCAAAAAUCGGGGAGGAAA